CUUGGUGAUGCCUGCGUGGGCAGUGUGGCUCCAGAAAGUGGCUGCUGAGUGUUCGCUCAGCUCCUCCCCACGGGCGGUGGGCUGUUUUUUCAUGCGCAGAGGCAAGCUUUGCUAGGAGGAGCAGCGUGUAAGUUCCAGAGGGCAAGGAUGGUGCCUGGGAGGAAUCCCUGCGCAUCCCAGAAACGCACACCUGAUCAACGAGGAAAUGAAUGAGCCGUGCCUGCUUGCAGGGAGACAAACUUUGCUCAGAUAAUGACUCCUGAACAAGCAGAAUCCAGUACACGGGUGGGCCCUGUGGAACUACUGUCAAGGCCCUGCUGCAUGAGACAUCACAGGGGCUGGUGACUGCCUUAGUCGCUAACUGUGUGGCUGUUGCCUGUGAGAUCCUGCCCCUCAGACAAGCUGAGCAAGGCAGCCAGGUCAGAUGGCUGCAGCAUCUCUCCGGGAGAACACGUGGGGACCAGCUCUGUGGCCAGGGCCCUGGGUGGCCUUGGGGAAAUGCUUCGUCUCUCUGGGCUUCCGUGUGCCCCUGUACAAGGGCACAGAGGCCUGGCAUGCACAUAUCUGGGGGCAGCCCUGUUAGGAGGAAGGCCCUGCCACUCCACUCUGCCCCAAAGGAGCAUUUCCGGGAUAGUGCAAGCAUUCCUGGGAUUUUCCUGGGCGCACAGUGCUGGAACACUGCCCUAGACUCCACUGCUCACAUUGUCACUAGCUGCAGCCCUUUCUGCGUGCCCACCACACCGCUUCUCAACUGGGCACAGUUCCUGCUCCUGGCUUUGCCUGAGCUGUGCUUUACACCUGAAGUGGACCCCCUGCCCUUCCAUCCUGCUCUCCUUUGA
rnacentral:lncRNA from 1 species